rnacentral:rRNA from 1 species
CCUACGGGAGGCAGCAGUGAGGAAUAUUGGUCAAUGGACGCAAGCCUGAACCAGCCAUGCCGCGUGCAGGAAGACGGCCCUAUGAGUUGUAAACUGCUUCUGCACGAGGGUAAACGCUGAUACGCGUAUCCUUCUGAAAGUACCUUACGAAUAAGGACCGGCUAACCCCGUGCCAGCAGCCGCGGCAAUACGGAGGAUUCAAGCGUUAUCCGGAUUUAUUGGGUUUAAAGGGUGCGUAGGCGGUCGGAUAAGUUAGAGGUGAAAUCCCGGGGCUCAACUUCGGAAUUGCCUUUGAUACUGUUAGGCUAGAGAGUAGUUGCGGUAGGCAGAAUGUAUGGUGUAGCGGUGAAAUGCGUAGAGAU